rnacentral:lncRNA from 1 species
UGCCUUCUUUAUGACUUCCAAGCUUCCAUCAUAACAACAUUAAUUGAGAGAUUCAAUCCACAAUCAAAUAAAAGGUAUCUUCUAUUAUUCAUCUAAAACAUUGCCUAUAAUGGAUGUGAGCACCAGCUACAUUCCAGUUUCCUUGGUAAUAAACACUAACAAAAUGACAACAAAAUUCUAUUAUUCUUUAGCUAGAAUUAUUGUACAAACACCUGUACCAACAACCAAUCACCUCAUCACCAUCGCCACCACCGCAAUUGUAAAUGCACCAUCGCCACAUCGCACCCACAACACCACAAUAAACACGAUGACAAGAAAACAAAGGUAGAUUAGAAAUAAACCCAAAUUUCCCCAUAUCAAUUUACCUAGCUAUUAGAAAUCUCCCAAAACUUUGUUCCCACACCAAAUCCAUCACCAAAAGGUCCACCUCAAAUUGCCCAAAAUGCUACCCAAAUUGAAAAUCCGUGCAGCUGCCUUUGCCCAAUGUCAAUGGUGCCACCUCCUUCUAAAGGUCCUCCUCGCUGUGCCAAGCGGCAAUUAUGGGCAAUGAUGUGAGAGUCGCUGCAGCAACUUUGCUCACGCCACCACAUCAAUGUUAUUACCGCAAUUAUGCUCCUUCCAAUGGUUGUGAUGUAGAGAGAAUGGGGAGAGAGAAUGAGAUUU